rnacentral:rRNA from 1 species
AUUGAACGCUGGCGGCAGGCCUAACACAUGCAAGUCGAACGAGCGGCGGACGGGUGAGUAAUGUAUGGGAAACUGCCUGCUGGCGGGGGAUAACUACUGGAAACGGUAGCUAAUACCGCAUACCAUCAGAUGAUCCCAGAUGGGGUUAGCUAGUAGGUGGGGUAUGGGCGCACCUAGGCGACGAUCCCUAGCUGGCCGGAGAGGAUGACCAGCCACACUGGAACUGAGACACGGUCCAGACUCCUACGGGAGGCAGCAGUGGGGAAUAUUGCAAAAUGGGCGCAAGCCUGAUGCAGCCAUGCCGCGUGUGUGAAGAAGGCCUUCGGGUUGUAAAGCACUUUCAGCGAGGAGGCGUUACUCGCAGAAGAAGCACCGGCUAACUCCGUGCCAGCCGCCGCGGUAAUAC